rnacentral:tRNA from 1 species
CAGGACGUGGCCGAGAUAGUUAAGCACUUCAUUUACACCGAAAAAACACCCAUGCAAAUUGGGUCGCCCUGA